rnacentral:rRNA from 1 species
UACGAGGGGCCCAAACGUUAUUCGGAAUUACUGGGCUUAAAGAGUUCGUAGGCGGCGCGGUACGUCGGUCGUGAAAGCCCUCGGCUCAACCGAGGAAUUGCGCUCUAAACUACCGUGCUUGAGGAAGCUAGAGGUGAGCGGAACUGAUGGUGGAGCGGUGAAAUGCGUUGAUAUCAUCAGGAACACCGGAGGCGAAGGCGGCUCACUGGGGCUUUUCUGACGCUGAGGAACGAAAGCGUGGGGAGCGAACAGG